rfam:Gossypium raimondii Chr04_contig_1271, whole genome shotgun sequence.
UUUUGAAAAUUUUAUUCAUUUCUAUUAUUUAAAAUAGGUGUGAGUAAUGGAAUGACUAGAUAGUUAUACUUGGCAAGCCACGUGUACCUCAUGUUGACGUAUAAGGAUCAAUUUUGAACGGUAUAAAUGGAUGGAAUUUUUAACA